rnacentral:lncRNA from 1 species
CGACUUUGAAUUUCCAUGGCAAAUUUUUGCCUCCAAAGUCUUUUCCUUCUUCCAUUUACGUUUCUCCAGCUAUUAUCUGCGCAAGAUUAAGUCAACACUAGAAGCCAAAUAAUUUUUUGAUUUUGAUUCUCUAUGGCGGAGAUUUAAUUUUUAAACGCCUCUUUUAAAGACCAAAAUCCCAACCCAUGACCUCUCUGAUUUUGGGAUUCAAAUUUCAAAUCAAAACUCUAAGUUCCAUCAAUAAAUAUUCCCCAAAGUUUUCUGCCAAAAAACCAAGCUUGGAACACAAGUGAAAACCAUGCUCAAAUCACCAAAAAAAAUCUUUCUUGCUUCAAUUUACAUUCAAGUUUUAAAUCUCAAUUUAGUAGUGGAAGAGAAGAUUAUCUGAUACCUCAAAGCCUACAAUUCACUGCCCCACAACAGGUAAUAUCUGAUUUUGUUUUCUCAUUCUCUUUAGUUUAAAUGUACUAUUUUUUACCUUGAAGAAUCAUGUCUUACUCUUUUCUGUUGCUAUGAUAAAAUAUGUUAGUAGAAUCUUGACAUGAUUGAUUUGUCAUUUCGUUUAAUUUAAAUAUCUGGAAGAGUAAAUCAUGUUUUAACUUUAGCUAUUUUCUACAAAUAUUUGCAAAACAGAUGUUCCUCCUCUAAUCGUAUUGCUCUUUCUUUGUUUUACAUGAACACUGGAGCUGAAGAGUCUCACUUUGAGACUCAACGACGCCGCAACAAACCAAGUCUACACGACCUCGUCUUCUCCAGCUUAUGCAUUGUCUAGACAGCAAAAACACAGAAGAUAAAAUCUUCUAGGGAGCUGACAGACUCUUAAUUAUUUCGUUCACUCUUUCGGGUAGGUGGAAGGCCAGUAUACGUAUUACCCUUCCCAGACCCUACUUUAUGAG